GACACGGCCCAGACUCCUACGGGAGGCAGCAGUGGGGAAUUUUGGACAAUGGGCGAAAGCCUGAUCCAGCAAUGCCGCGUGUGUGAAGAAGGCCUUCGGGUUGUAAAGCACUUUUGUCCGGAAAGAAAUCCCUGGUCCUAAUAUGGCCGGGGGAUGACGGUACCGGAAGAAUAAGCACCGGCUAACUACGUGCCAGCAGCCGCGGUAAUACGUAGGGUGCAAGCGUUAAUCGGAAUUACUGGGCGUAAAGCGUGCGCAGGCGGUGAUGUAAGACCGAUGUGAAAUCCCCGGGCUCAACCUGGGAACUGCAUUGGUGACUGCAUCGCUUGAGUAUGGCAGAGGGGGGUAGAAUUCCACGUGUAGCAGUGAAAUGCGUAGAGAUGUGGAGGAAUACCGAUGGCGAAGGCAGCCCCCUGGGUCAAUACUGACGCU
rnacentral:rRNA from 1 species